AACCCUGCCAAACCCUACAAGAUCGUUUCCUAUUCUCCUCUGGUGAUUCAUGAUGGAAGAUGAUAAUAUGAAUGAUAUGGAAGACUACUUAUUUACACCAGUUUGGGAGAAACGGGCAGAAUCAUUAAUACUCAACAUCAAGCCUCAACAAACAUAAAGGGACAAGGAAGGAGUACAAAAAAAACAUGAAAGUAAUUCGUCAAAGCUGAGCGGUUGAUUUUGAAUUUUUGGUAUCGUAUUUGUACUUCUUAAAUUUUACUAAACUUUAUGUUUUUUGAACGGAAUUGAUUACGAACAAGUAAGGAUUGCAUUUUAA